rnacentral:rRNA from 1 species
GGCGGCGUGCCUAACACAUGCAAGUCGCACGAGAAAGGGCUUCGGCCUGAGUAAAGUGGCGCACGGGUGAGUAACACGUGACUAAUCUACCCUCGAGUGGGGAAUAACCUAGGGAAACCUGGGCUAAUACCGCAUAACACUUACGAGUCAAAGCAGCAAUGCGCUUGGGGAGGAGGUCGCGGCAGAUUAGUUAGUUGGUGGGGUAAUGGCCUACCAAGACGAUGAUCUGUAUCCGGCCUGAGAGGGCGCACGGACACACUGGAACUGAAACACGGUCCAGACUCCUACGGGAGGCAGCAGUGGGGAAUUUUGCGCAAUGGGGGAAACCCUGACGCAGCAACGCCGCGUGGAGGAUGAAGUCUCUUGGGACGUAAACUCCUUUCGACAGGGACGAUAAUGACGGUACCUGUAGAAGAAGCCCCGGCUAACUUCGUGCCAGCAGCCGCGGUAAUACGAGGGGGGCAAGCGUUGUUCGGAAUUAUUGGGCGUAAAGGGCGCGUAGGCGGUUUGGCAAGUUUCGUGUGAAAUCUUCGGGCUCAACUCGAAGUCUGCACGGAAAACUGCCGGGCUUGAGUAUGGGAGAGGUGAGUGGAAUUUCCGGUGUAGCGGUGAAAUGCGUAGAUAUCGGAAGGAACA